rnacentral:rRNA from 1 species
UACAGAGGUCUCAAGCGUUGUUCGGAUUCAUUGGGCGUAAAGGGUGUGUAGGUGGCGCGCUAAGUCGGGUGUGAAAUUUCGGAGCUUAACUCCGAAACUGCAUUCGAUAACUGGCGUGCUUGAGGACUGGAGAGGAGACUGGAAUUCGAUGGUGUAGCAGUGAAAUGCGUAGAGAUCAUGAGGAAGACCAGUGGCGAAGGCGGGUCUCUGGACAAGUUCCGUGACACUGGAGACACGAAGGCCAGGGAGCAAACGGGA